UGCUGGAGGUAUCAGAAGUGCGAAUGCUGACAUGAGUAACGAUAAAGGGAGUGAAAAACUCCCUCGCCGGAAGAUCAAGGGUUCCUGUCCAACGUUAAUCGGGGCAGGGUAAGUCGACCCCUAAGGCGAGGCCGAAAGGCGUAGUCGAUGGGAAACGGGUUAAUAUUCCCGUACUUCUUAUAAUUGCGAUGGAGGGACGGAGAAGGCUAGGUGAGCCUGGCGACGGUUGUCCAGGUCCAAGUAUGUAGGCUGAUGGUUUAGGCAAAUCCGGACCAUCUUAAGGCUGAGAUACGAUGUCGAGCUACUACGGUAGUGAAGUCAUUGAUGCCAUGCUUCCGGGAAAAGCUUCUAAGCUUCAGAUUAUAAGAAAUCGUACCCCAAACCGACACAGGUGAUCAGGUAGAGAAUACCAAGGCGCUUGAGAGAACUCGGGUGAAGGAACUAGGCAAAAUGGUACCGUAACUUCGGGAGAAGGUACGCUCCUAGCGGUGAUGAGACUUGCUCUCUAAGCUGCCGGGAGUCGCAGAUACCAGGUGGCUGCAACUGUUUAUUAAAAACACAGCACUGUGCAAAAUCGAAAGAUGACGUAUACGGUGUGACGCCUGCCCGGUGCCGGAAGGUUAAUUGAUGGGGUUAGACUUCGGUCGAAGCUCUUGAUCGAAGCCCCGGUAAACGGCGGCCGUAACUAUAACGGUCCUAAGGUAGCGAAAUUCCUUGUCGGGUAAGUUCCGACCUGCACGAAUGGCGUAAUGAUGGCCACGCUGUCUCCACCCGAGACUCAGUGAAAUUGAAAUCGCAGUGAAGAUGCUGUGUACCCGCGGCUAGACGGAAAGACCCCGUGAACCUUUACUAUAGCUUGGCACUGAACAUUGACCCUACAUGUGUAGGAUAGGUGGGAGACGUUGAAGCAACCGCGCCAGUGGUUGUGGAGUCAAUCUUGAAAUACCACCCUUGUAUGCUUGAUGUUCUAACGUCGACCCUUAUCGGGGUUACGGACAGUGCCUGGUGGGUAGUUUGACUGGGGCGGUCUCCUCCCAAAGAGUAACGGAGGAGCACGAAGGUGGGCUAAUCACGGUCGGACAUCGUGAGGUUAGUGCAAUGGCAUAAGCCCGCUUGACUGCGAGAAUGACAAUUCGAGCAGGUGCGAAAGCAGGUCAUAGUGAUCCGGUGGUUCUGAAUGGAAGGGCCAUCGCUCAACGGAUAAAAGGUACUCCGGGGAUAACAGGCUGAUACCGCCCAAGAGUUCAUAUCGACGGCGGUGUUUGGCACCUCGAUGUCGGCUCAUCACAUCCUGGGGCUGAAGUCGGUCCCAAGGGUAUGGCUGUUCGCCAUUUAAAGUGGUACGCGAGCUGGGUUUAGAACGUCGUGAGACAGUUCGGUCCCUAUCUGCCGUGGGCGUUGGAUGAUUGAGAGGGGCUGCUCCUAGUACGAGAGGACCGGAGUGGACGAACCGCUGGUGUUCGGGUUGUAUCGCCAGAUGCAUUGCCCGGUAGCUAAGUUCGGAAUCGAUAACCGCUGAAAGCAUCUAAGCGGGAAGCGAGCCUCAAGAUGAGUCAUCCCUAGACCUUUAAGGUCUCUAAAGGGUUG
rnacentral:rRNA from 1 species